GCCCGGCUAGCUGAGUUGGUAGAGCAUGGGACUCUUGAUCUCAGGAUCAUGAGUUUGAGCCCCACACUGGGCG